rnacentral:rRNA from 1 species
CCUACGGGUGGCAGCAGUGAGGAAUAUUGGUCAAUGGGCGGAAGCCUGAACCAGCCAAGCCGCGUGCAGGAUGACGGCCCUAUGAGUGGUAAACUGCUUUUGUACGAGGGUAAACGCAGAUACUCGUCUCUGUCUAAAAGUAGCGUAAGAAUAAGGAUCGGCUAACUCCGUGCCAGCCGCCGCGGUAAUACGGAGGAUUCAAGCGUUAUCCGGGUUUACUGGGUUGAAAGGGUGCGCAGGCGGUCUGUUAAGUCAGAGGGCAACGCCCGGGGCUCAACCCCUGGCCUGCCGUUGAACCUGGCAGUCUCGAGUGGGAGAGAGGUAUGCGGAAUGCGUGGUGUAGCGGUGAAAUGCAUAGAUAUCGCGCAGAACGCCGAUUGCGAAGGCAGCAUGCCGGCUCCACACUGACGCUGAGGCACGAAAGCGUGGGUAUCGAACAGGAUUAGAUACCCGAGUAGUC